GUGGGGAAUCUUGCACAAUGGGGGCAACCCUGAUGCAGCGACGCCGCGUGAGCGAUGAAGCCCUUCGGGGCGUAAAGCUCUUUCGACCGGAACGAUAAUGACGGUACCGGGAGAAGAAGCUGCGGCUAACUACGUGCCAGCAGCCGCGGUAAUACGUAGGCAGCAAGCGUUGUUCGGAGUUACUGGGCGUAAAGAGUGCGUAGGCGGUUUUCUAAGUUCGAUGUGAAAUCUCCCGGCUUAACUGGGAGGGUGCGCCGAAGACUGGGAAGCUGGAGUGUGGGAAAGGCAGGCGGAAUUCCUGGUGUAGCGGUGAAAUGCGUAGAUAUCAGGAGGAACACCGGCGGUGUAGACGGCUUGCUAGACCAUAACUGACGCUGAGGCACGAAAGCGUGGGUAGCAAAC
rnacentral:rRNA from 1 species